UUGCGUUCUGUGUGCGUAAAGUGCUGGAAGGGGUGCUCAUGUUAACCUAAAAUGUGCAGAACGAGCUCGUAUUACUGUAAAUAAUAUUCCAGGUAUCCUUCUCCUUCUGUGAGCUUCUGUAAUGAUUUAUCCUUUUGCCUAAGCAGGCAUCAUGGUUUGGAGCUAAGAAGGUAUCCCUUGAGAUUUCUAACAUUGCCAACAAUGUCUUCAAAAUUGCGUCCCUUGAGAGUUCUACCAUUGCCAACAAUGUCUUCAAAACGUGAGACAUAAAUUAUGUAAAUUUUGCUUAGAACUUGAAUUUGGUGGGGGGUAGGGGAAAAGGAAAAGCAAAAGGAGAGGAAUGUUGAAAUGUGAAGGAAAACCGUUUUCUUUGUUUUUUUUGGGUUUUCUUUCAAUGUUCUAAAUCUCUUAUCGGAAACAACUAUUGUUAGGGUGUUACUUUUAAUGAGUUUAACGUGCUCUAUUAGCUUCAUCAAGGCUUGUAGUUUGUGUUCUAUUUCGCUUCACCUUGCUUCACCUUUUAUCUCAUUUGCCUGUUGAAUUUAGGCACGUCUCCCCUUUUGCAAGUUCAUGGUAUAGGUCAAACCCGCAUUUUCUCAUCUAAAUUGGACAUCCUCAUUCGAUGUCUCUUUUAUCUUUCCCUUUCCCAUCAUAAUUGAGUUGCUUCUCUUUUGCUAAUCUUUUAUGGUGGCUCAGCUCUAUAUUAUGUGGUGUGGUUCCACUAGAUGCUCAUUUGUUGUCUUUCUUAUUUAACGAGAAAAAUGGUGGAGAGGAUGGGUGAGGCAAGCCAAGGAUAAUAAAAGGAAGAAAACCUAGGGUUAAAAUCAGGUUCUGAGGACGGACUUGUUUAUUGGCGAGGCAACUCGUUGCAGCCAUGACAGAGUCAAGGUCCUUGGCUUGAUUCAAGUAGAUCUCAGCCUCACCCUGUAUUUCAUACACCCACAUGCACCUAUGAAUCCGCCUAUCCGUUCACUUAUGGACAUAUUGCUUCUUCUUUUUUUGUGGAGUUUUAAUGAAUCCCUAUACACAUUGAUACUCCUAUGUUUUUGGGCUGUUUUUAUUAUUAUUUAUUAUGUUUCUGUUUGAAUUUUUGUUGGGGCUCUGAUUUUCUAUGGGGUUUUAUUCCUGUCUUAUUUUGGGUUUUUGGCUUGUUUAGCACUGGGUCUCGCCUUGUGAUACUCUUGCGUUGACAGCUACAUGAUUCCUGAUUAUUUUCUGGUUUCUUAAUUUAUUUUUGUGGGGCUGUUUUUUUGUGUUUGGUAGGUGGAGCUCCAGCAAUAGGUGAGGCAUUUUUUAUGAUCUAAGGGAAGGGAUUUCUUCUCUGUAAUCAUCACUCUCCCUGUGUUUCAAAUGGAUUGUGCUGUAACCCAACAGGAAUUUGAGUUUGUUUGCAUCUUG